AAAAGAAAAAGGAAAGGAAAAACUUAUAUUCUACUACGACAACAGAAAGUAUUGAGAAAUACUAUAAGAAUACACCACAGAGAGAGAGAGAGAGAGAAGAGAGAGAGAUGAGAGAAGGUAAGGCCUACAGGUCGGUGGACCCAAUCCAUUAGCCGCAUAACGACAUGGGAUGGUGCGUGAGAGCAGCAUGAACAGCCCUUCCCUUCCCUUCCCCUCUUUCUCUCUUAUUUCGUAUCUNAGAGAGAGAGAGAGAGAGAGAGAGAGAGAGAUGGGUAUACAUAUGGGGAUAGACAUGUAUGUAUUUGUUUAUGCAUAUAUGACAUGAAAUGAUUGAGUAAGUUUAAGAGUUAGCCAUAUUUUAUAAAUCAAAAAAC
rnacentral:lncRNA from 1 species